rnacentral:rRNA from 1 species
AUUGCACAAUGGGGGGAACCCUGAUCCAGCGACGCCGCGUGAGUGAAGAAGUAUCUCGGUAUNUAAAGCUCUAUCAGCAGGGAAGNNAANNNANCGGUACCUGAGUAAGAAGCACCGGCUAACUACGCGCNNNCNGCCGCGGUAAUACGUAGGGGGCAAGCGUUAUCCGGAAUUACUGGGUGUAAAGGGAGCGUAGACGGUGAUGUAAGUCUGGAGUGAAAGGCGGGGGCCCAACCCCCGGACUGCUCUGGAAACUAUGUGACUGGAGUGCAGGAGAGGUGAGCGGAAUUCCUAGUGUAGCGGUGAAAUGCGUAGAUAUUAGGAGGAACACCAGUGGCGAAGGCGGCUCACUGGACUGUAACUGACGUUGAGGCUCGAAAGCGUGGGGAGCAAACAGG